UAUGGUCAUAUCAUGUUGAAGCACCAAUUUUCAUACAAACACUGAAGUUAAGCAACGUUGAGCCUGGUUAAUACCUAGAUGGGUGAUUGCUUGGGAAUACCAGGUGCUG